GCAGGGAUGGUGGAAUGGCAGACACGCUACCUUGAGGGGGGAGUGAGCGCAUGCUCGUGAGGGUUCAAAUCCCUUUCCCUGCACCA
rnacentral:tRNA from 1 species